GCUCUUCCUCGCUUUCUGCCUAUCUUUUUCCUGUCUCUGUGUGAUACUUCUGCUGUAUGUAAUGGCUAAUGAAGCCAUCGUGGUGUUCCUGGCCUUGCUCGUGCUGGGUAUCGAGACCAAGAAUAUGACCACAAAUAUGCCGACCAGCACCACCACCGAGCGCCCGUCGCCCCCCACGCCCCCCAGGACCUCCUCGCCCUCCUCGCCCUCUGACCCCACACCCUCCCAGUGCUGUCCCAGCUUCUCCGCCCCCGCUGCCCCCACCG